rnacentral:rRNA from 1 species
GACGAACGCUGGCGGCGUGCCUAAUACAUGCAAGUAGAACGCACAGUUUAUACCGUAGCUUGCUACACCAUAGACUGUGAAUUGCGAACGGGUGAGUAACGCGUAGGUAACCUGCCUGGUAGCGGGGGAUAACUAUUGGAAACGAUAGCUAAUACCGCAUAAUAUUAAUUAUUGCAUGAUAAUUAAUUGAAAGGUGCAAUUGCACCACUACCAGAUGGACCUGCGUUGUAUUAGCUAGUAGGUGAGGUAACGGCUCACCUAGGCGACGAUACAUAGCCGACCUGAGUGGGUGAUCGGCCACACUGGGACUGAGACCCGGCCCAGACUCCUACGGGAGGCAGCAGUAGGGAAUCUUCGGCAAUGGACGAAAGUCUGACCGAGCAACGCCGCGUGAGUGAAGAAGGUUUUCGGAUCGUAAAGCUCUGUUGUAAGAGAAGAACGGGUGUGAGAGUGGAAAGUUCACACUGUGACGGUAUCUUACCAGAAAGGGACGGCUAACUACGUG